UACAGAGGUCCCAAGCGUUGUUCGGAUUCACUGGGCGUAAAGGGUGCGUAGGCGGUGAGGUAAGUUUGACGUGAAAUCUCCGGGCUCAACCCGGAACUGCGUUGAAUACUAUCUCGCUAGAGGAAUGGAGGGGAGACUGGAAUACUUGGUGUAGCAGUGAAAUGCGUAGAUAUCAAGUGGAACACCAGUGGCGAAGGCGAGUCUCUGGACAUUUCCUGACGCUGAGGCACGAAAGCCAGGGGGAGCAAACGGG
rnacentral:rRNA from 1 species